AGAGCUAUGCUAUGCUAAUCUAAUCCUUGAUUUGGUGGGUUACAACACACAGACUAGCAGAAAUUUGUGCAGAAUUGUUUACAUCUAUAGCAUUCAACACCAAAUUCAAGAAUAAUCAAGAUAAACACAACUUGACCUUUCAAAUGUUGGUUUAGAGAGUAAACUCAUGUGGAUUUCAAUAGUGUGGUGUGUGUGGCUGGGAAUUUCAUUUUUUAUGGAUCGACGGGUCUUGGAUGAUCAGCUGUUGUUGAUUAGUGGAUCUAUCUUCUUUCUUGGGGGUUGUCUAACCCUGUACUAUUUUCAAGGCGUGUGAAAUUUGCUGGGUGUUUGGUUCUUUCAUACAUCGGCUUGCUUUGUGAUUGGCUAGGUUGUUGCUGUGUUGUUGUUGUGAUGGUUUCCAGGCAUGGCUUUAGGUCAUACAUGGGUUUGGAAUUGAAAUGCAAGUUGUUGUCAUUAUCAUGAUUGUGCAUUAAAUGCACUCUUCCACUUUGUGUUGGUUUGUCAUCAAUCAUGACUUGGGAGAGCUGCGGUUUUUGGCUUGGACAUGACAUGUUUUUUUCUCUCAUGAAGUUUGGUUGGUGUUUCAAGUUGGUUGGUCUCUCUAGGAACUGUUCAUUCCCGAUUCUCAUGAAACUAGAUGCGUUUUUUUCCCUUGCUCAUUCUUUAGCACAAUUUGUGUUUGUCAUUUUAGUCUUAUUCUUCAGUAUUUUCCUAUGCAGCUAGGCUGCACCUUUUUUAAAUUCAAUUUGUACAUGAUUUAUAGGCACCCCUCUCAUUUUGCUUUGAAGAUGGUGUGAGAUAGGCUUGGUGUUUUUGAGAGAGGCCUUCCCAACCAUUACUCUCAACUCUUCCACUGUCAAUUUCUUUCCCAAUUGCAGUUCCCUGUGUGUUGCUUAACAGGAUUAGUUUGCCUCUGCGUCGGUGCCCUUGGUAACCUAUUAGGUUUGCGGAUUCUUUAUCUUAUGUAACUCACCUCACUUUCUUUCACUUGCAUCUACUAUGUUGCCUUGCUUUGUUUAUUUUCCAAUAUGGAUUUUUUUUUGUUUUCUGCCGUUGCGCUAAAUUGUUUUGGGUGUAUAUCGUUCCCUGUGUUGUUUUGUUGCUUCGAUUUAAGGAUGCGUUGUGUAUUUUCUUUCCUCCUUUGUUAAAUGGCUUCCUUUUCUGCCUGCGCUGCUUUCACUGUUACUUUUGCUUUUCUUCUUGCAAAUUACUUUGCUUUUCCACCCUACAUUUUUUCUCUGUCAUUCUUUUUUGUUUGGCUUCUUAUUUAUAUAUUGUUGUCAUGGGCUUUGAUAUUUUCCCUCAAGGUUAAUUCUUAGUCGAUCUCUCUGGUCGCCUUUUUAUGGAUAUUAUCAUUGUGUCGUUCUUUUCUCUUCCACGGGGCCUUCUUGGUUAGGAGCAAGGUUGUCUUGCUGGUGGUCUCACUCUUUUCAGAAGAGCUUUAACAACUGAUUGUGCCUUACUCGGCAAGUUUCUCUUUUUCAAGGUGUUUUAGGAACAUCGCCAUGUCAUCUCUUUGUUUGUUUGGCUUCCCAAAUCUUAUUUUUUUGGUUUUUUAACAGCCUUUCAUACCUUCGUUUCAAGGGUGCUUUUUAAGACCUUACCAUUUGUUUCGUGUUGGUCUGUUCUUUUUUAUGUCAUCCUUCUCUUUGCAUUGAAUUUGGUUUGGAACCUAUAUUUAUUUUUCUUUUUGUCAUCUCUAUGCAUGCUUCUGGUCUGAAUUUCUGGUGGCUCCUCACUACUCUAUCAAUGAUUUGUACCAUUUGCGCUCACCUUGAGUGCUGCAAGGUUUUCUCAUUUGGUUUACUGCCUUUUUUGGUAGUUUUCCUUGCAUUGAUAUUGUGUGUUUGCAUCCCUUCCUGCUCCCCUUCCCCUACAGUCGAUUGGAUUACUGUUAUGCUCAAGAGAUCCUCCUUGAUGCAUUUGGCUUUGACUUUUGUCCUUUACACUCUUUUUUAAUAUAGUUUUUUUUCUGUCCCUCUGCCUUGCAAUUUCCAGCGCUGGGCUGGUUUGGUUUACUUCGAUACUAUUUGGUUUGGCUUUGCUUCUCUUUUAGAAGCCUUUCCAUCGAUUUGGGGGCAGCCUCCAUUGACAAAUCUUUUUAUUCUUUGAUGCCCCCCCCCCCCCCCCCCGGAAAAUGUUUUUCCAGAUUCGAGCCUUGUUUCAAUUCUUCUUUUUUGUCUUUUGUUAUACCAGGGAUUUAGUUGGUCAAGGCUAUUAAUCUAGCCUAUGUGUCCAGUUUUUUUGUUCGAGUUUUGCUUGGUUCUUUUGUUGUGUUGCGUUCUUGGCCAAAAAUGGUGAGAGAUGAGGAUAAAAGACCGCAUGGAUCAAAAGCAAAUUGGUAGGGCAUGUGUGGUCAAUUAGAUGAAUUAAAGCGGCUGUGUAAUUAGAUUAAAAGGCUAUGAGUCUCAACAGGGGUGCAAGGAGAAAAAAGGGGGGGGAGCAGAUGGUUGACACUGACCCUCUCAUUUUCCCUCAUUCUCUCACAUCGCUUCUGCAUAAUGUCCCCAGCCUUAUUAGACAUGGCUGGAAAAGCUAUAGCCAGUCCUUUAUUCUCUCUUAUUUAGUCUCAUGUUCAAGAGAGCAAAAAGAAAUAAGAACCGCAGGCUAAAGCAAAAACCUUCUGAUAACUCUAAGCUCUUAACACUGUAAGAUUCUCAGUUUUUAUCCCUUAGUUUUUUGUGUCGCUUGCAUUUACACGCAAACAAGCAUUCUAAUUUACUGGUUGUGGUCCUGGAUUUUAUUGUGUUUGGAUACUUUUUGCUUUGAUGUCUAGGUUGGUCUAACCUGUACAAGGUGACCCCUCCAAUGCAGGUAUUUUUUUUUCCUUCCCUGCUUCCCGUCUGGUUUGCUUGAUUUUUCUUUUUUCUUCAGUCUGUUAGUUGCUUCGUUCUGACUUGAAUUGUGUUCCCCCCUUGGCACUUCUUUUGUUCAUUUUUUCCUACUAUUUCAAGCAUUCAUUUAAGUUUCUUCAUGCCUUUUCCCUUUGGUUUGCUUCGUUCUGUCUUAUGUUUAUUUGGUAAUGUUUUAGAAGCUUACUAUUUUUUGUUUUUUUGUUGUGCUGAUUUCCUCACGUGUGGGUCUGCUGCAAGCAGUCAUGCAUCUCACCCGCAAACACAGUCCUUUCGCACACCAAAGCUAUGAUACAUUCAUCAGCACUUGCUUUGCACAAUUGUUUUGUGAUGUUCCUGGAAUUAGUCAUCUCAUUUGCUUUGCUUUUUUGAUAAAACAAUGUUGAUUUCAACUACUUUUGCUUGCUUGCGAAUUGGUUGUACUUUUCCAUCUCCUCUGACUUUUGCAGGGGCAAACCCACCACUGCCUUCCUAUAGUGUGCAUGCUUGCUAGCAUUUUUAUUUCACCUACAAUAUUGCUGUGCAACCCCUGUUUUUUAUAACUCUGUCUGUUUGCUCAUGUUGUCCUCAUCAACUGCAUCCACGAACCAUUUUGCAAAGUGGUGGUGGGUGCUAAUCCCAGGUGCCCUUUCGGUUUCGUCAUCGAUUGAUGUGACAAAUAACACACUUAUUUUUGGAUUGGAUCUUCUGUUCCUUUUAGCACACUCAUGACUUUGUUUUCCUUUUGCUUCUGAGCUCAUGCAAUGCUCGGUUUUCACUAUUUUUCCACUUCGUACCUACUCCCAAUAGAGAAGAUUCUUCCACCUGCUUCUGCCUUUAAGUCGUAGCCCUCACGUUUGCUGUUGUUUCCCCUUGCUAUGCUUUGUGUUUCUAUCCUAUUGCUUUGCUGUUGCAAAUUGUGCAUUGAAGUUGCUUUUUUCUUCAGCACCUCUUGCAUGCUUGGCAGUAUUAAUUGCAAUAGCUUUUGUUUUUUUGGGUGCAGGAACGUUAAGGACCUUUUACAGUCGGCUAUUGAGGUCCGAUCAUCUUUGUUGGGGUCUCUGUUUUUUUUUUUUUUUGCUCCUUUGACCUCCUCCCUCGAGGCAACUCCUUCCUUCUCAAAAAAGUCCUCCACGCAGCAAUCCCAGCCUUGGCUUCCAUUGUUUUUCACCUGCACUGCACUCUUUGCGUUCUGUAAAAAAUAUUUAUUAAUUAAUAGCCACUGUUGCUGCUUUGGUUCA